CCAAGGAGUCUAACAUAUGCGCGAGUCACUCAGUCUUGAAUAGGCUUGAGGGGCGUAAUGAAAGUAAAUGGUACGAUCCUGGGAUCCCUUUUGGCAACAGAAGGCCUGGGCGCAAUACCGACCCGCCUAUUUCCCUUUUUGUGGAUGUGGCGGAGUCUGAGCGUACAUGUUGGUACCCGAAAGAUGGUGAACUAUGCCUGGGCAAGACGAAGCCAGAGGAAACUCUGGUGGAGGUCUGUAGCGAUUCUGACGUGCAAAUCGAUCGUCAGACCUGGGUAUAGGGGCGAAAGACUAAUCGAACCAUC
rnacentral:rRNA from 1 species